rnacentral:rRNA from 1 species
UACAGAGGGGGCAAGCGUUAUUCGGAAUUAUUGGGCGCAAAGGGCGCGUAGGCGGCCAUUCAAGUGACGGGUGAAAGCCCUCGGCUUAACCGAGGAACUGCCUGUCAGACUGGAUGGCUUGAGACCGGGAGAGGUGAGUGGAAUUCCCAGUGUAGCGGUGAAAUGCGUAGAUAUUGGGAGGAACACCAGUGGCGAAGGCGGCUCACUGGACCGGAACUGACGCUGAGGCGCGAAAGCGUGGGGAGCAAACAGG